GGCUGAGCGUUGUGCGCGGCGGCCGUAGGCGAACGCGGCACGGGGCACUCUCGGCGGCAUCGCCAUUGGCCGCCGGGGGGAUCCAAGCCGGAGCGCGCGGCGCCCUCCGCCGUCCACAGGCACAGGUGGCACAUAUAUUGCAAGAAGAUUUUCAUUGGGUUCCCUGCAAGUGCACACAACCGAUGGAUUUAUCAUUUUGCUGGUUUCUUGGAGAUGCACUAAGCUCUAUGAAGUACAAAAAGUCAGCUGACAAAUGAACAUCACUUUACCUGGUACAUAUCAGAUGGGCGUUGCAGGUAAACCAUAUCUUGCAUGAUGGGGAUGCGGUCUCCAUCAGCUUGAGGGCUAUCUUGGAAUUUGGUUCUUUCAUCUCCCUACAGGUUAUAAUACCAUAAGAGCAUACUCAUCUAGGUUCUUCUCCGCCUCUUCCCGCGCCAACUUCAGGUACUCGCUGAUCUCUUCAGGCUUCAUGCUGAGCUGUGGACAUGAGCUACCACGAUCUUGGACCCGCGCGCCGCCAGGUUCUGCAGCGCCCAGAGGAAGGUGCUCCUGCCGUGCUCGACGUCCGCUUCGACGGCCACGAACAC